CCUACGGGAUGCAGCAGUGGGGGAUAUUGCACAAUGGUGGGAACCCUGAUGCAGCGACGCCGCGUGGGUGAAGAAGCUCCUCGGCGCGGAAAGCCCCUUCAGCAGGGAAGAAAAUGCUGGUACCUGAAGAAGGAUCCCCGUCUAACUACGUGCCAGCAGCCGCGGUAAUACGGAGGGGGCAGGGGUUAUCCGGAUUUACUGGGUGUAAAGGGGGCGCAGACGGCGCUGCAAGCCAGGAGUGAAAGCCCGGGGCCCAACCCCGGGACUGCUCUUGGAACUGCGGGGCUGGAGUGCAGGAGGGGUAGGCGGAAUGCCUGGUGUAGCGGUGAAAUGCGUAGAUAUCAGGAGGAACACCGGUGGCGAAGGCGGCCUGCUGGACUGCAACUGACGUUGAGGCCCGAAAGCGUGGGGAGCAAACAGGAUUAGAUACCCCUGUAGUC
rnacentral:rRNA from 1 species